rnacentral:rRNA from 1 species
AUUGAACGCUGGCGGCAUGCCUAACACAUGCAAGUCGAACGGCAGCGCGGGGGCAACCCUGGCGGCGAGUGGCGGACGGGUGAGGAAUGCAUAGGAAUCUGCCCGGUUGUGGGGGAUAACGUAGGGAAACUUACGCUAAUACCGCAUACGACCUUCGGGUGAAAGUGGGGGACCUUCGGGCCUCACGCGAUCGGAUGAGCCUAUGCCCGAUUAGCUAGUUGGCGGGGUAAGCGCCCACCAAGGCGACGAUCGGUAGCUGGUCUGAGAGGAUGAUCAGCCACACUGGGACUGAGACACGGCCCAGACUCCUACGGGAGGCAGCAGUGGGGAAUAUUGGACAGUGGGCGCAAGCCUGAUCCAGCAAUGCCGCGUGUGUGAAGAAGGCCUUCGGGUUGUAAAGCACUUUUGUUCGGGAAGAAAUCCGUGUGGUUAAUACCCGUACGGGAUGACGGUACCGAAAGAAUAAGCACCGGCUAACUUCGUG